CGCGCAGGUGGUUUCUUAAGUCUGAUGUGAAAGCCCACGGCUCAACCGUGGAGGGUCAUUGGAAACUGGGAGACUUGAGUGCAGAAGAGGAUAGUGGAAUUCCAAGUGUAGCGGUGAAAUGCGUAGAGAUUUGGAGGAACACCAGUGGCGAAGGCGGCCUGCUGGGCUUUAACUGACGCUGAGGCACGAAAGCGUGGGUAGCAAACA
rnacentral:rRNA from 1 species